AGACUGAGGAGUCCCAUAAUAGGACGAAACGGCCGUCCAGUGU
rnacentral:hammerhead_ribozyme from 1 species